UGAGAAAGCCCAAGAUGAAAAUAAAAAAGAUAUUGAACCGGACCGGGUCGGGUCAGAGUGACCCGGAUCCGCCCAGCAAUCUAUUAGAAACAUGGGUUAAAGAAACCCUAGCCAAAAGAAAUGAGGCAGCGCUCAUUCUCUUUCUCCCUCUCACGUUUUUUUCUCUGAAAAAAAAAAGAAAUACUCUCUUACAGCAAACACCCAUGGCAACUCGGUUCUCUCUCUCUUGCGAUUUUUUCUCUUGGCGGAAGACAACCAUAACUCGAUCUCACUCUCUUGGUUUGCUCUCACUUGCCAUCUCUCUCUCCCGCUGAGUUCUCUCUCUCUCGGAACAACAACAACAAAGUCUCUCCUCACUGAGCAACGGCAACAACAUCGGCCAUGAGAGGAGCUUAGAGACUCUCAUCAUCUUAUGAUUCAAACCAAAACAGGAAACUAGCAAGAACUAACAGAAAAUUUAAGAGUGAAAGUGGAGUCUGACUUACCUACAGCGAGUAGAUUUUCGCUGGUUUAAUGUUUGAGGUAUGACUUUGAUCCUUCUUGUUUCUGGAAUUGGCUAUGAUUGCAAUUGAUGUUGUUAAAGCUGCUGAAUUUUGAAUUGAUUGAUGUGUGUAUCGAAUUCUUCCUGCUGGCUGCGAGUUAUUAUUGUUGCUUUGCUGAAUUUUUGCUUCUGAAUUAUUGUUAUGAUGCCGAACUGUUGCAAAUUGUUACUGUUGCUGAAUUUUGUUUAGUUAUUGUUGUUGCAACUGUGUUUGUUUUUUAGCUUACAGCAACAAUAAUUCAACUUCUAUGCUUUCAAUUUUCAGUUAUGCACAAUAAUAACAUAUUUGCAAGAAUGAUUUAACAAUAAUAUUGAGCAUGAGGAUGAAUACAACUUACCUACGGCGAGGAGGUGUUCGCCGGUUUAUUGUUGAGGAUCCUUUGAUGAAGAUGAAGCCACCUCUUUGGAUAUUAGGGAGACUCUUUGGAUAUUAGGGAGACUUGAAGAUGGAUUUCAAGUUGGAACUCUCCACCAAGGUAUGAAGAAUUUCUUCUUCACUCUCUUU